UUUGAAGCCUCAAGCCCCUCUCCUGCUUCAAACCACCAUCUCUCCUCUGUUCUCUCCCUUCUUCCCUCUCUAUGCAUCUUUCUUCUUUGCAAGCAAACGCAUAGCUCUCAUUCUCUCAUUCUCUUACUCUCUCACUCUCUCUUAUUUUCAAUUUUAUCUGAGAACGCUGAAACAAUGGUGAGAGAAAUAUCUCUGAGCUAUACAUUUCUACUUGAUGAUCUUCGUCAAUAUGCUUCUACCGACUAUUACAAUCACUCUUAAUCUCAUUGCAACAUCUUCGUUUUCCUCAGGUUGUCGCACAAAAAGUGAAGGAAGCGAAGAUUACCGAGCAGGACUCGCUUCUUCUGGUAACCUUCGAUCACUCAUCAAUUAGGAAAUAGAUCGCAAGUGAUAGAAAUCUGAAUUGUUUGAAAUUCUUCUGAAGUUUCAAGCUGAUACUAUUUCAUUUAUGUAAAUCUGAUAUGUUUUUGUUCAAUUUUCGUUUACCUUCGUUUAAAUCUCUCUCUCUCUCUCUCUCUCUCUCUCUCUCUCUCUCUCUCUCUCUCUCUCUCUCUCUCUCUCUCUCCUGUUGAAGUUUGAUAUGAAUUUUUGCUAAAUUUUGAAAAAUUUCAGUUCGAAUAGUUCAAAUAUAAAUCGUAUCUGAAACAGACUGUGAUGAUAUAAGCUUUGACGAAUACUUGAUGAUUCGUAAAUAGAUCUAAAGCUAACUGUUAUUGUUCUAGAAAUUUUAAGCACAUCUCGUAGCAUAAGCGUAUUUAAUUUUGGAAAGCGUAUUUAAGAUGGUUUUAUGACAUAGUAUUAAUAGUGUACUUCUAUGAUGUAUUAUUAAUAGUGUUUUUUUUUUCUUUUUGUAGAAGUAUCUUCUUAUUACUAGUAUACUUCACUGCUGGGGCUGGCAGGACAAUGCUGAUCAGCGAUGCUGGGAAAGUUUAUGCCUUUGGAAAGAACUCAAGAUGGUUCUAUGACAUAGUAAUAACAAGAUAGUUCUAUGACAUAGUAUAAACAAUGUACUUCUAUGAAAUGAUAUU
rnacentral:lncRNA from 1 species